CAUAAUAUUCUCCAGUCACAACUUUCAGAGGAAAAACGGAGCAUUAAGCAACCUAUGAAACGUCAAUCCUUUCGCCGAAUCUGCCUUCCCCGACCACUUUUCGUCUCUCGUCUUCGUCCCACGCGCUUUCACAUUCUUCCUUUCGAACCUUCCUUCAAGCACAGCCGCCCUCGUUUCACCCACCUGUACCUGUUUAUAUAUAUAUCUUAGCAUCUCAAUCUCAUACUCAUUCACAUCCUCCAUUGUAUAUCUUCUCAAUCUCGUCUCUGCCUCUCUCUUCCUAUAGUUCAUAAUAUCAUCGUCAUCUUCAUCCUUAUUCUGCAACUAUGAAUCAUUCCAACCAACAAGUUCCUCCCGGCACCGUCAGUGAGUGCUCCUCCGCCGAUGGGGUAUCCCUCCAUGGAUUCUGUCUCUGCGGAUGUUCCUCAGAAAACCACAACCAGGGGUGAUGGCUUCUGGGAGGGAUGUUGUGCUGCUCUCUGUUGCUGCUGCGUCUU